GACACAGUUCUGGCUAAUAACAUGGAGAUGUAAGUCCCUGAGAGAAGGCUUCCUUUCAGAAAUUUGUCUUCAGAAAUAAAAAAGGCAGACCCCUGUGAAGGGCAAAGAAGAAAACUUUUGCUCUCAGAGACUAGAAGCAUGACAGAAAGCUACCCUUAGGUGAUUUGGACUGGUUUGAAGUGCAUGAAACAACAAACAGGGUGCCUAAACAUCCUUUAUUACAAACAGCUAUGAGAAUUUUGAGGCCAAGGAUAUGAUUGCAACAGCCUGCAGGUUCCAGGAUGCCUGAAAACAUGUAUAUGUGACAAGUUCCCAGGGUAUUUCCGUGCCCAUUCGAUGCAUGACACAGUUCUGAAUGCCAACCUGGUAGAAUUAAAAGUACCAGCAUCAUUUCCCUCGAGCAGAAAAAAAUGCUGCUGGAAGCCUUACUAAGUCAAUAAA
rnacentral:lncRNA from 10 species